CCUACGGGAGGCAGCAGUGGGGAAUUUUGGACAAUGGGCGCAAGCCUGAUCCAGCCAUGCCGCGUGCGGGAAGAGGGCCUUCGGGUUGUAAACCGCUUUUGUCAGGGAAGAAAAGGUUCUGGUUAAUACCUGGGACUCAUGACGGUACCUGAAGAAUAAGCACCGGCUAACUACGUGCCAGCAGCCGCGGUAAUACGUAGGGUGCAAGCGUUAAUCGGAAUUACUGGGCGUAAAGCGUGCGCAGGCGGUUAUGCAAGACAGAGGUGAAAUCCCCGGGCUCAACCUGGGAACUGCCUUUGUGACUGCAUAGCUAGAGUGCGGCAGAGGGGGAUGGAAUUCCGCGUGUAGCAGUGAAAUGCGUAGAUAUGCGGAGGAACACCGAUGGCGAAGGCAAUCCCCUGGGCCUGCACUGACGCUCAUGCACGAAAGCGUGGGGAGCAAACAGGAUUAGAUACCCUGGUAGUCCACGCCCUAAACGAUGUCAACUGGUUGUUGGGAGGGUUUCUUCUCAGUAACGUAGCUAACGCGNGAGUGACGCCGNGGAGGUACGGCCGCGAGUAGUAACGUACGAAGUAGAGUUAGACGGCGUGAGACGUAGCCGACGGACGACGACGAGGGAGGAGG
rnacentral:rRNA from 1 species